UACGAAGGGGGCUAGCGUUGCUCGGAAUUACUGGGCGUAAAGCGCACGUAGGCGGCUUUCUAAGUCGGGGGUGAAAUCCUGGAGCUCAACUCCAGAACUGCCUUCGAUACUGGAGAGCUUGAGUCCGGGAGAGGUGAGUGGAACUGCGAGUGUAGAGGUGAAAUUCGUAGAUAUUCGCAAGAACACCAGUGGCGAAGGCGGCUCACUGGCCCGGUACUGACGCUGAGACGCGAAAGCGUGGGGAGCAAACAGG
rnacentral:rRNA from 1 species